UACGUAGGGUCCGAGCGUUGUCCGGAGUUACUGGGCGUAAAGCGCGCGUAGGCGGUUACUUAUGUCGGAUGUGAAAGCCCUCGGCUUAACUGAGGAAGUGCAUUCGAAACUGGGUAGCUAGAGUACUAAAGAGGGUCGCGGAAUUCCCGGUGUAGAGGUGAAAUUCGUAGAUAUCGGGAGGAACACCGGUGGCGAAGGCGGCAUCCUGGACCAAUUCUGACGCUGAGGAGCGAAAGCCAGGGGAGCAAACGGG
rnacentral:rRNA from 1 species